rnacentral:rRNA from 1 species
CAGUCGCCGCGGUAAUACGUAGGGUGCAAGCGUUAAUCGGAAUUACUGGGCGUAAAGCGUGCGCAGGCGGUUUGUUAAGACAGAUGUGAAAUCCCCGGGCUCAACCUGGGAACUGCAUUUGUGACUGGCAGGCUAGAGUAUGGCAGAGGGGGGUGGAAUUCCGCGUGUAGCAGUGAAAUGCGUAGAUAUGCGGAGGAACACCGAUGGCGAAGGCAGCCCCCUGGGCCAAUACUGACGCUCAUGCACGAAAGCUAGGGGAGCAAACAGGAUUAGAUACCCCGGUAGUCCCUGUCUCUUAUAC